rnacentral:rRNA from 1 species
CAAGUCGAGCGAGAAGCCUAGAAAUGAUUCUUCGGUUGAUUUUCUAGGUGGACAGCGGCGAAAGGGAGAGUAACGCGUAGAUCACGUACCCUAGGGUUUGGGAUAGCGGGGGGAAACCGCCGGUAAUACCGAAUAAUGUCUCCGGACCAAAGAUUUAUCACCCUGGGAGCGGUCUGCGUCCUAUUAGUUUGUUGGUGGGGUAAAAGCCUACCAAGGCAAAGAUGGGUAGCGGGUGUGAGAGCAUGGCCCGUCUCACUGGGACUGAGACACUGCCCAGACACCUACGGGUGGCUGCAGUCGAGAAUCUUCCGCAAUGGACGAAAGUCUGACGGAGCGACGCCGCGUGCGGGAUGAAGGCCUUCGGGUUGUAAACCGCUGUCAGAGGGGAGCAAAUUUUGAGCGAUCCUCAGAGGAAGCACAGGCUAAGUUCGUGCCAGCAGCCGCGGUAAUACGAACUGUGCGAACGUUAUUCGGAAUCACUGGGCUUAAAGGGUGCGUAGGCGGCGAUAUAGGUCAGGUGUGAAAUCCCACGGCUCAACCGUGGAACUGCGCUUGAAACCAUGUUGCUUGAGGAAGUCAGAGGUAAGCGGAACUGAUGGUGGGAGCGGUGAAAUGCGUUGAUAUUAUCAGGAACACCGGUGGCGAAAGCGGC